AUGAGAGCAAUUAGUUGGAACUGUCAUGGAAUGUUGUCUUCCACGGCAGUUCGAGAGCUCCGGGAGCUCCAAGGUCGUAAUUGUGCGGAGUUGAUUUUUCUUUCCGAGUCGCAUUUGAAUAAAAGUAAAGCUGACGAGCUACGUUGUAUCUUAGGUUUUAGUUCCAUGUUUUUAGAUGAGAGUGAUGGCAAGUCUGGUGGUCUAGUCCUUUUUUAUCAAAAAGAGAAUAAAGUCGAGUUGAACUAUUUGUCUUCCCAUUUUAUUGAUGUUGUAUUUAUGAAUGAUAAUUCUGUAAAUUGGCGCUUUACGGGUUUCUAUGGUUAUCCGGCAUGGAAUGGAAACUAUUUAUCUUGGGCAGAUCUUCGCCAACUGCAUUCCUUUGCUGAUUAUCCUUGGGUAGUCAUUGGAGAUUUUAAUGAAAUUAUCUACUCUAGCGAAAAAGAAGGUGGCAAUGCUAGACCAAAUGAAAUGAUGCAGGAAUUCCGUAAGUGUUUGAGUGAUUGUAACCUGGAGGAUAUGGGCUCUGUUGGUGAUCCAUUCACUUGGAGAAGG
rnacentral:rRNA from 1 species